GAUGAACGCUGGCGGCGUGCUUAACACAUGCAAGUCGAACGAAGCACCUCUCCCGAAGAUUGACACAGCUUGCUGUAGAUUGAUUCAUUUGAGGUGACUGAGUGGCGGACGGGUGAGUAACGCGUGGGUAACCUGCCUCAUAGAGGGGGACAACAGUUGGAAACGACUGCUAAUACCGCAUAGUAAGAAGAAUUCGCAUGUUUUCUUCUUGAAAGAUUUAUCGCUAUGAGAUGGACCCGCGUCUGAUUAGCUAGUUGGUAAGGUAACGGCUUACCAAGGCGACGAUCAGUAGCCGGCUUGAGAGAGUGAACGGCCACAUUGGGACUGAGACACGGCCCAAACUCCUACGGGAGGCAGCAGUGGGGAAUAUUGCACAAUGGGGGAAACCCUGAUGCAGCGACGCCGCGUGAGUGAAGAAGUAUUUCGGUAUGUAAAGCUCUAUCAGCAGGGAAGAUAAUGACGGUACCUGACUAAGAAGCCCCGGCUAACUACGUG
rnacentral:rRNA from 1 species